UACGUAGGGUGCGAGCGUUGUCCGGAAUUAUUGGGCGUAAAGAGCUUGUAGGCGGUCUGUCGCGUCUGCUGUGAAAAUCCGGGGCUCAACCCCGGACUUGCAGUGGGUACGGGCAGACUAGAGUGCAGUAGGGGAGACUGGAAUUCCUGGUGUAGCGGUGAAAUGCGCAGAUAUCAGGAGGAACACCGAUGGCGAAGGCGGGUCUCUGGGCAGUAACUGACGCUGAGGAGCGAAAGCGUGGGGAGCGAACAGG
rnacentral:rRNA from 1 species